AAGAGCGAUGAAUCCCAAAGAUGACCACAUACCAUAUUGCAAAUGCUGAACUAACUUCUGGAUCAUGUCAACACAAGCCGAGCAUGCAGCCUCCAGAACGCCUUUGAUCCUGUCCCUGGGGGGAAAUCACGGGGGAUGCUGCAGGAGUGUGGGGUUACAGGGCCAUUACUACGAGCGAUCCGGAUCCUGUGUUAUCAAAUGGACCGUCUUUGUUGGAGUCUUUCUUAAAGGCAGAAGGACAGAUGGAGAGCUCUACACUUUUAGAGACAGAUGAGAAAGCUUUGACCCCAUGCAUG